rnacentral:rRNA from 1 species
CAGCCCCCCGAGUGGUAGGGAUGUUUAUUUGGCCUAAAGCGUCCGUAGCCGGUUUGGUAAAUCUCUCGUUAAAUCCAACGUCCUAAGCGUUGGGCUGCGAGGGAGACUGCCAAGCUAGAGGGUGGGAGAGGUCAGCGGUAUUCCUGGGGUAGGGGCGAAAUCCUUUGAUCCCAGGAGGACCACCAGUGGCGAAGGCUGCUGACUAGAACACGCCUGACGGUGAGGGACGAAAGCUGGGGUAGCGAAUCGGAUUAGAUACCCGAGUAGUCC